GAUGAACGCUGGCGGCGUGCCUAAUACAUGCAAGUCGAGCGAACGGACGAGAAGCUUGCUUCUCUGAUGUUAGCGGCGGACGGGUGAGUAACACGUGGAUAACCUACCUAUAAGACUGGGAUAACUUCGGGAAACCGGAGCUAAUACCGGAUGAUAUUUUGAACCGCAUGGUUCAAAAGUGAAAGACGGUCUUGCUGUCACUUAUAGAUGGAUCCGCGCUGCAUUAGCUAGUUGGUAAGGUAACGGCUUACCAAGGCAACGAUGCAUAGCCGACCUGAGAGGGUGAUCGGCCACACUGGAACUGAGACACGGUCCAGACCCCUACGGGAGGCAGCAGUAGGGAAUCUUCCGCAAUGGGCGAAAGCCUGACGGAGCAACGCCGCGUGAGUGAUGAAGGGCUUCGGAUCGUAAAACUCUGUUAUUAGGGAAGAACAUGUGUGUAAGUAACUGUGCACAUCUGGACGGUACCUAAUCAGAAAGCCACGGCUAACUACGU
rnacentral:rRNA from 1 species